CAGUGUGCCGCUAGAUGGUGUUUGUAUUGUUUUUAAUAUGGCGAAAUGUAUAAAGAGUUUUGUCAUCUUCUGUUUUCGAAUUUUCAUGUUUUACUGCCCAAAAUCAACCAAUUAUUUACAUAAAAUGUACCUGCCGUCUAGUCAUCAGAUUAAAUUUGGACUCCAUUUUAAAAACCAGUUGCUCAACCCUUCUGUGACUCACACACUCAGCUUCAUCUGCAUCAUCCUCUCACAUCUUAGACAAAACCGCAAGCUGUUAUGCCCAAAAGUUGUGGCAUUGCAUAUACGGUUACAGGUUCCUUCUUGCCUGAAAGAUGUUGACACCUUUGAACACUUUUGGUGGGGUUGUUGCGUCAUGAAAUUGUAUUGUUGCCAUUCCCUGCAUCUCCCACUUCAAAGCUACAAGAAAUGAGUAAUAGGAAGCCUACAACAGUUUGAGGAAUUCAUAGGUUGUGUGGUAUGCCAUUGGAUCCAUCGGAUUUCGCGAGUCAGCCGCCGAUGUCAAUCUACAACGCAGUUUCUUUAUUGGAAUUGUGUGGUCUUGGCACAGAGAUCCUUGAUGCUGGCCUUUGUCCAUUACAGAAGAGUGACUUCUACCAACUCUCCAUCCUUAUCUUCGCUACCCACACUCAUCUAGCUUCUCUGCUUAAUUAUUAUGCUGCCAAACAAUUUGUCGUACUUAACUGACGAGUUAGACCAGUCGCUUCCGUCCGCCUGUCACUCUCCACGGAAUCAUGCCCAGAUGAGACGUCGAGAAGAUGGAAUUCCGAGACUCGUCAUCAACGUGGAUCAUCGCGACCGGCACCGAGACUCAGACUCGUCAUAAACGUGGAUCAUCGUAUUGUUGGUAUUAUUUCGUUAUGUGUUAGUUAACCCGUUGGCUGCCACGCCUUUGUUCUCCCCUAGCUCCUUAGCACG
rnacentral:lncRNA from 1 species